AGAGUUUGAUCAUGGCUCAGGACGAACGCUGACGGUGUGCUUUAGACAUGCAAGUCGAACGAGAAAGCCCUUCGGGGUGAGUACAGUGGCGAACGGGUGAGUAACACGUGGGCAAUCUGCCCCUCGCAGGGGGACAACCGGGGGAAACCCCGGCUAAUACUCCGUACGCUUGUUGAGUCGCAUGGCUCUACAAGGAAAGGUAGCUUCGGCCAUCCGGCGAGGGAUGAGCCCGCGGUGCAUUAGCUAGUUGGUGAGGUAACGGCUUACCAAGGCGACGAUGCAUAGCUGGUCUGAGAGGAUGAUCAGCCACACUGGGACUGAGACACGGCCCAGACUCCUACGGGAGGCAGCAGUCGGGAAUCUUGCGCAAUGGGCGAAAGCCUGACGCAGCAACACCGUGUGAGCGACGAAGGCCUUCGGGUCGUAAAGCUCUGUUGUUGGGGACGAAGGGUUAGGGGUUAAUAGCCCCGAGCCUGACGGUACCCUUCGAGGAAGCCCCGGCUAACUACGUGCCAGCAGCGGCGGUAAUAC
rnacentral:rRNA from 1 species